UACGUAGGUGGCAAGCGUUGUCCGGAUUUACUGGGCGUAAAGAGCGCGCAGGCGGUCGUUCAAGUCGCGUGUGAAAGCCCCCGGCUCAACUGGGGAGGGUCACGCGAUACUGAUCGACUCGAAGGCAGGAGAGGGUAGUGGAAUUCCCGGUGUAGUGGUGAAAUGCGUAGAUAUCUGGAGGAAUACCGGUGGCGAAGGCGGCAUCCUGGACCGGCAUUGACGCUGAGGAGCGAAAGCGUGGGGAGCAAACAGG
rnacentral:rRNA from 1 species